UGAACGAAAACGCCGACAACAACCGGACAACAACCCCUGCAGGCUUGGCAUGGCUUCCCGGUGCUGGAAGAGAAGUAACUGAUGCUGUGCCAUGUCACCCCCAAUACAGCAAAAUCAGGGUGUAAAAAGAAAAUACAGAAGGAGAAGGAGAGAAAGCAAGCUGAGAGAAUGUGUUUUUCUCCACCUGUUUAUUUCACAGGAAAGGCCACCGCCCUGAGAGGACAAAGAGGGAUCGCCAUGGAUGGAGGAGCUGGAACUCAGAAAAGACCUCAUAAAGGGAUCUGUGUGCUGCAGCGCUUGAGGGAUGGAGGGAUCAGCCUGGAAAGUGAAACUUCAGCUAGUGUUGUAUUAAAGUUCAUUGCCACAGGGCUUUUGUGGGUUUGUGCCAAUGCCCAGACAAUGAUAGUUUAUGUCAGUGUAGAUGCAUUGCUAGACAGCAUCCUCUCCUGCUGAGCUGCUUUAUUCACAGUCCCAUGACUGUGAGCUGGGCUGAUGUGAGUUUUGAAACUGACGUUAGUAUGAUAUGCUAGACACUGUAGACAGAUAUAAGAAUAUACUCAUGAAUA